CCGACUUGCCACGACUGGAUAGCCGAGAUGAUUUGAUGCCGCGAGAGCUCGGCUUAGGAUCUCGAGAGGAAGCCUUGGCAGGAGGUCGGCUAACUUUCUUGGAAGAAGCAACUUGAGCCACCUCUGCAGCAACCUCAGGCACCGAACGCCCAGCCCGAAGGGCAUCGAAAAUGGCAUGCAUAUUAUCCCGAGACAGGACUAAGUUCUUCGGAUACCUGAUCUCUUCCAUUUUAACGUCAGAAGCUGCAAAAACACGAAACUACAAAGAAUUAACGCAUUUUAUGAUAUCAUUUACAAAGAAGAAACAGAAUCGCUGGACAAGGCACUAUACCCGUGUCCCGGAUAUCCCUAAGAUUAGACACGAACAUACACUUCUCGACGUCAUACUUCCUCUCAACAGAAGUCAAUCGAAGCAAC
rnacentral:lncRNA from 1 species